AGUCCCGAAUCGCCCACCUCCCCCGGGGUGAGGGGCUGCCUACCCUCUCUCGCGCGCUCCCUCGGCUUUGCCCCCAGUGCCUACCCUCGGCCAGGACCUCGACGCCGUCUCUCUACCGUGCAAAAGCGGGACCUGAGCUGGCGGCAGUGUCCUCCCCAACCCAAGUGCCUCAGAUGAUCCUAACUAGUUAUGCAGUAACCUGUGGUGGUCCCAUUUCUUGUGCUCAUGAUUGGUUUAAGGAUCGGGAUGUGACCAGUAUUGGACAAUGAGAGAUGAGAGGAAGUCGGCUGGAAGGCUUCUAGAAAAAGCAUUCCUCACUAUCAAAAAGAGAUGCGCAAAGCGGCAGCUUCUCUUCUGCUGCUGGAUGUUACCGAAUCUGCAUAUGAUAGUAGGAUGACGGCAGCCACCUUGUAGCAAAGAGCAGAGUUUCCUCCAAGAGAACAUUCUACGGGGAGAAGAGGAAACAGCACCAAUGACAUCACUUUGCCUGAGUUCACAAACCCUACAGGUGCUCCCACCCCCUACAUUUUUCCUUGUGUGAGAUAAUAAAUUCCUUAUUAUUUAAGCCAUU
rnacentral:lncRNA from 1 species